UACAACGUAGCACAGUGGUUAGUGCAGUCUGCCGGAAUCAGAAAGACGCGGGUUCAAUUCUCGUCCGAUGUCA
rnacentral:tRNA from 1 species